GAGUUUGAUCCUGGCUCAGAAUGAACGCUGGCGGCAAGCUUUAUACAUGCAAGUCGAACGUGGCUCCCUAGCUUGCUAGGGAGCUAAGUGGCAAACGGGUGAGUAACGCAUAGGAAUCUACCCAAUAGUGGGGGAUAACCAUCGGAAACGGUGGCUAAUACCGCAUAAUCCCGAGAGGGCAAAGAUUUUAUCGCUGAUGGAUGAGCCUAUGUUAGAUUAUGCUUGUUGGUGAGGUAAUGGCUCACCAAGGCUGUGAUCUAUAGCUGGUCUGAGAGGAUGAUCAGCCACACUGGAACUGAGAUACGGUCCAGACUCCUACGGGAGGCAGCAGUAGGGAAUAUUGGACAAUGGGCUAACGCCUGAUCCAGCUAUGCCGCGUGAGUGAUGAAGGCCUUAGGGUUGUAAAGCUCUUUCAGCAAGGAAGAUAAUGACUGUACUUGCAGAAGAAGUCCCGGCUAACUCCGUGCCAGCAGCCGCGGUAAUACGGAGGGGGCUAGCGUUAUUCGGAAUUACUGGGCGUAAAGGGCGCGUAGGCGGCACAUUAAGUCGGAAGUGAAAUCCCAGGGCUCAACCUUGGAACUGCUUCCGAUACUGGUGUGCUUGAGUGUGAGAGAGGAUAGUGGAAUUCCUAGUGUAGAGGUGAAAUUCGUAAAUAUUAGGAGGAACACCAGAGGCGAAGGCGACUAUCUGGAUUACUACUGACGCUAAGGCGCGAAAGCGUGGGGAGCAAACAGGAUUAGAUACCCUGGUAGUCCACGCCCUAAACGAUGAGUGCUAGAUGUGGGGGUAACUCCGUGUCGUAGCUAACGCGUUAAGCACUCCGCCUGGGUAGUACGGUCGCAAGAUUGAAACUCAAAGGAAUGACGG
rnacentral:rRNA from 1 species